GGCUUCUAUAAGGUCUCCCUAGAGCCUUCUCUUCUCUAGGCUGAACAACCCCAGCUCUCUUAGCCUGUCCUCAUAUAGGACGUGCUCCAGCUCUCUGAUCUUCUUCUUGGCCCUCCUCUGGACUUGAUCUAACAGAUCCAUGUGCUUACUGUGCUGAGGACUCCAAAACUGAACACAGGACUCCAGCAGCAGGACUUCUGAGCGAGCACAGAUAAACAAGAAAGACAAUGGCAGACAAGGUAAAACAGCCUUUUUUUUCUUCUCUUUUUGCUCUGAAUUCCUGCAUUGUUACCAGUUCAGUAAGACCACAAGUGAUUACAGGGCUGAGUAGCAUACAAAAGCUAAAUCAUCUAUCAGGUGCCAGGAAUAAAAACAAAAUCCCAUCAAAUGGAAACAGCUGAUCUGCCACAUCAGCCAUAGCACAUCCUAAAAGCCUGAUCAUCUCUCUUUUGCCAAUUUACCACUGAAGAGCACAGUGUCAGCAUCUCGAGCAGCCUGUAGCAAGAGGUAGCAUUUCAUGAAAAUAAUAAGGCUUUGGAUAUAGCAAUAUCUGUGCAAGGAUUUCAUUAGCAAGGCCUGUCCUGUUUCCUGAAGGCUCGUCAUUAUAGCAGAUUUGCUAAUAAAUCUGAUCUGAAAGUUAUGUAUCUCAUGCUAAAUUUUCCUUUCCUAAGCUCUUUUCCAACAUCCAAAAACUUUCUGCAAAACCCAGGUGGGGAUCUAACCUCUGAUCUGCUUUUUCAAGCUUGCCUCAGGAAUAAUAUUAUAAAAAUCAAAUAGGAAGGUAAUGAAAAUACAUUUUCCUGGCAGGGUACAUGCUCUAGGGGAAAGUCAGUUAAUGCAGGGAUUAAAUUCAAAACUCAUACAUGCAUGAUAAGUCUAGAUAAUAUGAUUUGCAAAAUGGUACCGUACUUUAAACUCGGCCCCUGAUACCUUUUGUGUAUCUGCUUUCUCUGGGAGAGGAAUUUCUUCUGGGUGACUGCAGCAAAUCCUGAGAUGCCAAAGUCCUUUCCUGCAACUGCCCGCUGUAUGUGCAGAUGUCAGCCAAAGCUGGUAAAGCAUCUAUUUAUUUCAAACCCACGUAGUGGGCUAUUAAAUUCACUGCUGUUUUGGGACUGAUGAUUGGUUACUAAUGUCUCUAAUAUUUCCAAUGCAGCUAGUAUUAUAUGAAUGAAGAUACAAAUCAAACCCUGAAUUUAACUCAUUUCAUGAUACGUGGGAAAAAUACAUUAGUGGGAACUUAGUAUGACAAUGGGCAUUCACAUUACAUGAGACAUCAGUUAUGCAGGUAUCCUGGGCCAUGAAAGUGUUUUAAGGUGUGUUUAAUGGGCAAACAUCUAAAGAUAUAUAGGUAAUAAUCUUUGCCAUUCUGCAGCACUUCACUAAAGUGCAUCUGUAAGGUAGCAAAAGAAUAUGUUUCUUAGAAAUGUUCAAUUAUAAUGAUAAUAGUGACCUUUGUUAAACAUGAGUGCACUCUCAUUCAAGUAUGGAAUUCCUGAUUUGCAGAAGGAAAUAUUUUCCAUUGCAACCUUUAUGUAAGGUCCAAAUGAUAAUUUAGUGCUUUAAAAUGGGACUUUUCAGGCUUACUGCAGAAAUCUCUAGCAGAAUAUGGGUCUAGAUGAAAAGAACAGGUAAUAAUUCUUCAUAAUGUUUGACUUCUUAAUGUAAUUCCCGUGGGACUCUAUUGCUAUAAAUUCUGGGUUUGUUUUUGUGUUCUGUGAGGUUUUUCAAUGAAGAAGUGAUUACAGUUUUAAAAUUUCUUGUGGGUUUUUUUUCCUAUUCACAGACAUAUGUGCACUUGGACAGUAAGUAUGAGCGAUUUGACAGAAAAGGAAGGGGUUUUGUGAAGAAGGCACUGGCCUGAAGCUCUAGAGAUCUGGACUCAGCACCUGGCUCUGUACCAGGGCUCUCAGGUGACCCAGGUGCAGCUCAGCAGGACGUUGGAUGUGGAGCACGGCUCUGGGCAGGGCUCAGUGCCUCCACACCAGCCCUCCGCGCUAGCCAGAAGAUGCAGCAGCCCCCCUGAGCCCAGGGGCACCGAGCUGCACCUGAUGGGACCACAGCUGAUGCUAACCCCAGUUUAGGCAGCCUUGCCCCAGCUCCUGUUUAGCUGUUGAGCCGACCCAGAGCUCCUCACACAAGUGUCACCCCCAACACCCACAGACCCCACUCGCUCACACUGAGGAGAGGGGGGAUGGGUUCAGGGCCCCUUUAGCUCUGUCCCUUCCCUAGGGAUUCUUCCCAACUAUAAUGCUUUUCCAGUUGCUCUCUCAUAACCUUUCCCACACAAGCUCCAGUAACGUUCUUCUCAUCUCAAAGCCCGUCUCAUUGCAGCUCCCAGGUAACUCCACCAGAAAACGCCUGUGUAAAUGGAAGCAGCCACAGAUCUCUCUCUAGUAAGUCAGAGCUACAUUAAUCCACUACUGGAAUAAGAUACAGUAAUUUCAAGCCAUACAAAUUAUGCAGAAUGAAAAUCUCAGCCAUUGGAGCAAGACCACCUAAUAUAGUUUCCUUAUUCCUAACACUUCAGGAGGAAUCAGGUUGUGAACUACUGGGUUGGGCAGUCAAUCCAGACCUCUGCCAGUCCUCGGACCCAGAUUUAAAAAAGAAAUGAUGAUGCUUGUUUGCACUUCUUUUACAAAAUUAACUUUGCAGAUUUGCUGAAGUGGAGGACCACAAUGAACAUGCUCUUGCUCUGAAGUCCAUGUUCCUACACAGCGUAACAGGGGAGGAGAGUGAGGAGGGAAAGAGGCAGAGGAAGGAAGAACACUGGAUGACGUGACUUGGUCCUAUCGUUGGUCACCAGAGAGAAGAGAUCAGCAAGCUGAGCAGCAGCGCGGUUGCAACAUCUUUUUGUUACAGACGGUUUGGCAAACUUUUUCCAGUUUUUCCAAACAUCCUGGAACAAAAUUUAUUCUGCAAUAAUGAGAAAAGUACUAAGAAAUGGACUUGUGAAAACCAACUGCAUGUGUCACCACUAACAUUUCAAGCAAAGUUAUGAUCUACAGCUACUUUUCCAUUGCUAAUGUGAUGAAGGCAGUUAUGGAGCUCAUCACUCAGCCUAAGGAGGGUUUCAGGCAGGAAAACUGUUUCCACCAGGCUGUUCCUAUGUACUGGGAUUUUUAUACUGCUCUGGUGUCCUUCCUGAACAAAGAGAAUGACAGACCUCCGAAAGUGAUAUCAUCCAGCAAUUCAGAUACCCAUGGUCUUUCAGAAGAUUAUGCAAGGUAAGAAAAGGAAGAUCUUCUAGCCUGAUAGAAAAGUGAAGCUGGAGAGAAUGACUUGGAAGUUAACAUUUCCUGACUUCCCAAUGCAGACCAAAGGGCAAAUGCUUUUGGUGGUGCAGCUGCUGAGGUGACGAUUACAGACAGAGACCAUGGGCUGGUCUUGACUGUGUACCUUUGAAGGCAAAAAGGAGCGUAGGUCUCUUCCAAGGGAGGAAUGAAGUGGAGCAGAAAAUGUUAGAAGCACUUUCGUCACUCACUUUUGUUAGAUGGAGAGUUUGAAGCCUAUCAAUAUUUGAUGUACAAUUGCCACCUGAACACAAAAUCAUCUUUAACUGUUCCCAUCCAGCUCUGCAGCUCCUGUGUGUUCCUGCACCCUAUCUGUCUGUGGCCUGAGCUUGUUAUGGGUAGAGGAGGGGACACUAGUGAUGGCUGUGGCUGUACUCUGAGUCAAUGGAUGGAUCUGUUUUCCUGGGGUCAUUGCUAUGGUGCUCAGAGCCAAGCCAGAGAGCUCUGCGCUGUUCCAUAAUAUUCUUGACUUAACCUGAUGGACCUGUAGUAUUUAACUACCUUUAAAUUGAGGAGUAGAACUGGGGAUUUUGCUUGAUUGUUUUUUUUGUUCCUUUGGUGUGUUGUAGUUCUGUUUCAGGGUGUUGCUUUUUUAAAACUAUAUAAAUUCUAUUGGUUAAAUCAAGGU